AGAGUUUGAUCCUGGCUCAGAACAAACGCUGGCGGCGUGCCUAACACAUGCAAGUCGUACGAGAAAGUCCGCUUCGGUGGAUGAGUAAAGUGGCGCACGGGUGAGUAACGCGUGGAUAAUCUACCCUUUAGUCUGGAAUAACUUAUCGAAAGGUGAACUAAUACCGGAUAAUAUCCCGAUUUCUUCGGCGAUCGGGAUCAAAGAAGGCCUCUGCUUGCAAGCUUUCACUGAAGGAUGAGUCCGCGUACCAUUAGCUAGUUGGCAGGGUAAUGGCCUACCAAGGUUAUGAUGGUUAGCUGGUCUGAGAGGAUGAUCAGCCACACUGGAACUGAAACACGGUCCAGACUCCUACGGGAGGCAGCAGUGAGGAAUAUUGCGCAAUGGGGGCAACCCUGACGCAGCAACGCCGCGUGAGUGAGGAAGGUUUUCGGAUUGUAAAGCUCUGUCGAGCGGAAAGAAGUGCAUGGUGGUUAAUAUCCAUCAUGCUUGACGGUACCGCUAAAGGAAGCACCGGCUAACUCCGUGCCAGCAGCCGCGGUAAUACGGGGGGUGCAAGCGUUGUUCGGAAUCAUUGGGCGUAAAGCGCGUGUAGGCGGCUGGACAAGUCAGAUGUGAAAGCCCUGGGCUUAACCCAGGAAGUGCAUUUGAAACUGUUCAGCUAGAGUAAGGGAGAGGAAAGUGGAAUUCCUGGUGUAGAGGUGAAAUUCGUAGAUAUCAGGAGGAACACCGGUGGCGAAGGCGACUUUCUGGCCCUAUACUGACGCUGAGACGCGAAAGCGUGGGUAGCAAACAGGAUUAGAUACCCUGGUAGUCCACGCUGUAAACGAUGUUCGCUAGGUGUUGGGGGUAUUGACCCUUCCAGUGCCGCAGCUAACGCAUUAAGUGAACCGCCUGGGGAGUACGGUCGCAAGAUUAAAACUCAAAGGAAUUGACGG
rnacentral:rRNA from 1 species